rnacentral:rRNA from 1 species
UACGUAGGGUGCGAGCGUUUGUCCGGAAUUAUUGGGCGUAAAGAGCUCGUAGGCGGUCUGUCGCGUCGGUCGUGAAAACUUGGGGCUUAACCCUGAGCUUGCGGUCGAUACGGGCAUGACUGGAGUUCGGUAGGGGAGACUGGAAUUCCUGGUGUAGCGGUGAAAUGCGCAGAUAUCAGGAGGAACACCGGUGGCGAAGGCGGGUCUCUGGGCCGUAACUGACGCUGAGGAGCGAAAGCAUGGGGAGCGAACAGG